rnacentral:lncRNA from 1 species
CUUCUUUUUUCUCUGAUGUUUUACUUUUUUUGUAAUUUUUUUUACCCUCUCUAACCCUCAUUGCCUCCUCCAUUGCCUUCGCGACCCUCUUGCCAUCGCCUUCUCCGCCGCCUCUACGGCCCUCAUCGCCUCCUCCGCGGCCCUCGGCCCUCUCCGACCCUCAAAUUAUGCAAACUAGUAUAAAACCCGCGCUUCGCUGCGGAGAAAUAAAAUUUUAAUUAAUUAAUAUUUAUUAUUUAAAUUUUAAAAUUUGAAAGGUAAAUUUAAAAACAUAAUACAUUCAAAAAAAUCAUUACCUUCUCAAUAAAAUUAAAAACAUAAUACAUUUGAAAAAAUCGUUAACUUCUCAAUAUCAAAAUAUUUAUCAACUCAAUAUUAAAAAUU